rnacentral:rRNA from 1 species
CGCGUAGGCGGGCGGUCAAGUCAGAGGUGAAAGCCCACGGCUCAACCGUGGAAGUGCCCCUGAUACUGGCCGUCUCGAGGGAGGUAGGGGCGUGCGGAACUUCCGGUGGAGCGGUGAAAUGUGUAGAUAUCGGAAGGAACACCGGUGGCGAAAGCGGCGCGCUGGACCUCUUCUGACGCUGAGGCGCGAAAGCCAGGGGAGCAAACGGGAUUAGAUACCCCGGUAGUCCUGGCCCUAAACGUUGGGUACUAGGUAGUGGACUUACAUGGGUUCACUGCCGAAGCAAAAGUGAUAAGUACCCCGCCUGGGGAGUAUGGUCGCAAGGCUGAA